rnacentral:lncRNA from 1 species
CUCCCGCCUCCAGGUUCCUGCCCUGGUUGAGUUCCUCCUAACUUCCUUCAAUGAUGAACAGUGAUGUGGACAUGUCCUGCCUCAACCAUAGGUGUGAUAACUUGGAGACAUGAAAACCAGAAGUGAAAGGUCCAGUAUGUUAAUGAUGUCAGAACAGACAGAGCCAAUGUCCUUGAAGUUACUUCAGAGGAGGAGCUACCUGCAACCCUAAUUAUCUCCAGAUGACGAGGUAGCCAGCCAGCUUCUUCUGUCCUCUCCUGGAUUCACCGAACAAACAGUACAGAAACUUCGAGCAGCAUCCGCCUACCCCAGUGACGGAUUCCUCACACUGAUCAAAUCAACACACAGGAACGGAGAAGAAAUGACUGACUGCAGGGCUGUCAGUCCACCAACUGAGCAGUUAAUGAAAGCAGGUGGCAUAAUACAAUCCUUCAGUUCUUUCUAGAAUCCUGAUGAAUCAGUCAGCUUGUUCUUGAAAAACCUAAGAUGGUUACCCUACCCCCCAAAGAGAUUCUGAUUCCAAUCUGAAGAUGAUUCUGAGCAGAGACAACAAAGACGUCUCUUCCUUCUCCCUCCUAUGGCAUGUCCAACUCAUAUUCAAAGUCAGAAACACACAGCAGUUUCCAAAAGGGAACCACCAUUGGGAAUCUAUGGGGUGCACAUUCUGGCACAAAUGUCAUGAUAUAUACCAGUAUUGCAGAAACGGACCUGGCUCCACUCCUCUCCG